UACAGAGGUCCCAAGCGUUGUUCGGAUUCAUUGGGCGUAAAGGGUGCGCAGGCGGCCAAGUGUGUGAGGCGUGAAAGCCUGGAGCUUAACUCCAGAAUUGCACCUCAAACUACUUGGCUAGAGCAUUGGAGAGGGUAGCGGAAUUCACGGUGUAGCAGUGAAAUGCGUAGAUAUCGUGAGGAACACCAGAGGCGAAGGCGGCUACCUGGACAAUUGCUGACGCUCAGGCACGAAAGCGUGGGGAGCAAAAGGG
rnacentral:rRNA from 1 species